rnacentral:rRNA from 1 species
GGUCGGCUGAGUCAGAUGUGGACAUGUGGACAGUAUGGGAGUGAGAAUGUUGGCAGGGGUAGCGAGAUGUGGGUGAGAAUCCCACAGGCCGUAAACCCAAGGUUUCCAGGGGAAGGUUCGUCCGCCCUGGGUUAGUCGGGACCUAAGCUGAGGCCGAAAGGCGUAGGUGAUGGACAACAGGU